rnacentral:rRNA from 1 species
AAUGAACGCUGGCGGCAGGCCUAACACAUGCAAGUCGAACGGAUCCUUCGGGAUUAGUGGCGGACGGGUGAGUAACGCGUGGGAACAUACCCUUUGGUACGGAAUAGCCUCGGGAAACUGGGAGUAAUACCAUAUGUGGUCGAGAGACGAAAGAUUUAUCGCCAAAGGAUUGGCCCGCGUUGGAUUAGGUAGUUGGUGGGGUAAUGGCCUACCAAGCCGAUGAUCCAUAGCUGGUUUGAGAGGAUGAUCAGCCACACUGGGACUGGGACACGGCCCAGACUCCUACGGGAGGCAGCAGUGGGGAAUCUUAGACAAUGGGGGAAACCCUGAUCUAGCCAUGCCGCGUGAUCGAUGAAGGCCUUAGGGUUGUAAAGAUCUUUCAGGUGGGAAGAUAAUGACUGUACCACCAGAAGAAGCCCCGGCUAACUCCGUGCCAGCCGCCGCAGUAA